rnacentral:lncRNA from 1 species
GUCCUUUAACUCAGAACUUUGUAGAAAUUCAAAAGAUUUUGUUGAAAAGGACACUUAAAAAUGAAAGCUGUAUACAUUCACCAUAAAGAUAUGUGUAUAAAACAAAAUCCAGAAGUUUCAGUGGUCUUUUUUUUUUUUUUUUUUUGAGAUGGAGUCUCACUCNNNNNNNNNNUUUUUUUUUGAGAUGGAGUCUCACUCCUGUCGUGCAGGCUGGAGUGCAGUGGCGCAAUUUCGGCUCACUCAGCUCAGGAGGUUCGUGCUGCUUGGCAUUCUACUAGAAAGUCUACCUUGUUGGCUCCUCACUUAAGUGCAGAUUCUCUAUUAGAUCUGGAUGCUAGUAAUAGGAUCAUUUUCUAGGGACUCCUAUUGCAUAAAUGUAAAUGUCUGCUGCCCAUCUUGAAGACCAUCGGCAAGCUUUGGUGGGUUUAUAUUCAGUGGCAUUAGGGAUUAAGGCAAACUUAAAAUGAUUCUGAGUGUAAACAGAUACAAGCCACUUGUUUUAUGCUAAUAAAACAUCAUAAUUUAAGGACUACACUGCAUUUUUUAAUUCCAUAAAUUAUAACCCUUUAACAUAUAUGAAAGUUUCAUAUUCUUAAAGUGCUUUAAAAUAUAUUUAAUUUUUUUAACAAGUGGAAAAGAAUGUUCCUUAAAAGACAUUUAAUUUUUUAGUGGAAAUUUAUAUUANNNNNNNNNNNNNNNNNNNNNNNNNNNNNNNAAAAAAAAAAAAAAAUUACAGGCUUGGGGCAAGGGGAAACAGCAGUAAUGGGGCCUGGGCUGCCCUGAUCAGACACUGAGCUAAUAACUUUUCACACAUUGUCCCAUUUAAUUUCCACAACCUUAAGAGCCAUACCCUAUUUUUAUUUCCAUUUUACAGAAGAGGAAACCAAAGGUAAAGAACAAUUAAGCAACUUGUCCAAGGUCACACAGGGAAAGGGAUGGAACUAAGAUUUGACCUCAAAACCUACGUUUUUGCAUUCCCUGGAGGAGAAGCCAAUAGAGUCAGGUUUAGGAAGUGGUAGAGAAGCUCUAUCUUCACCCUUUCAGGGUCUGCGUCUCAACCUGCACCUUAAAAAUGAAGGCUUUGGGUUAAGAAAUGGGCACUUAAUCUAUGUGGUUGUGAACAUUAAUUAGAUCCUUAAAAAUCAUUUAAAGUAUUUUGAGAUUCUCAUAUGGUGAGUAUUUUGAAUAUCU